GUUGUUCCUGCUGAGCUUGAGCAAUUGCUGCUUCAGGAGCACUCCGUAGACAUUGCCGAAGUGACAGUGGUGGGGCUACCGCACCCUUUAUACAGAGAAGCACCAGCGGCUGCGGUAGUGCCCCGGGGCCAAUACAUGUGUCACAAGGCCGCGGGGCCCUUGGCUGAUAAGAUGAAGGCUACCAUCACAGAAAAACUGGCUAUCCACAAGCACCUUUACGGAGGCGUCUUUCUGUUCGACUCCUUGCCGAAGACAGAAAAGGCAAAAGUAAACCGAAGAGCAAUAGUGGAACAGUGUGCUCAUAAAGUAAGUUUGUAAUAAAUAAAGAAGUUACAGUCUUUCAAA
rnacentral:lncRNA from 1 species